UCAGUAUCAGUGAUGACAUGCUCAAUUUGAUGGCUCUGUGCUACGGGGCCUCCUCUGGACACAUGACGCUGGAGAGCUUCAUCAGUCUCAUUCUUCGCUUGGACUGCAUGUACAGAAUCUUUAAACAACUGUCUAAUGGAAAAGCCAUGAAUCUUCAAGAGUCAGAGUGGAUCUACAUUUCAAUGUACACUUAACCCAACAAGGGAGAUGGAUGGUACAAAAUCAUCAGGACAUACAGGAGUACAUAUUUCAAAAGAGUGUUUUCUUUUCAUUUGUCAAAUUGCAUAUUAGAAAACAAAGAUGUAUUCCUCUGCGAAUGAGCCAUUAGACAUUAUCUAACUAAAGAGCAUUUUCUUUUUACUACUUUGUUAAUGCAUUGCAUUGUGAAAACAUUACAUAACCAAUCUUAUAACAAAAAGCAGAAGC